rnacentral:rRNA from 1 species
AUUGAACGCUGGCGGCAGGCCUAACACAUGCAAGUCGAACGAGUGGCGGACGGGUGAGGUAUGUCUGGGAAACUGCCUUAUGGAGGGGGAUCACUACUGGAAACGGUAGCUAACACCGCAUACUAACAUAUGUCCCGAGAUGGGAUUAGCUUGUUGGUGGGGUAAAGGCUCACCAAGGCGACGAUCCCUAGCUGGUCUGAGAGGAUGACCAGCCACACUGGAACUGAGACACGGUCCAGACGCCUACGGGAGGCAGCAGUGGGGAAUAUUGCACAAUGGGCGCAAGCCUGAUGCAGCCAUGCCGCGUGUGUGAAGAAGGCCUUCGGGUUGUAAAGUACUUUCAGCGGGGAGGCGUUACCCGCAGAAGAAGCACCGGCUAACUCCGUGCCAGCCGCCGCGGUAAUAC